rnacentral:rRNA from 1 species
CUUGGUCAUUUAGAGGAAGUAAAAGUCGUAACAAGGUUUCCGUAGGUGAACCUGCGGAAGGAUCAUUACCGAAUUGUCAACACGAGUUGUUGCUGGUCCUCAAACGGGGGCAUGUGCACGCUCUGUUUACACAUCCACUCACACCUGUGCACCCUCUGUAGUUCUGUGGUCUGAGGGGCUCUGUCCUCUCGCCGUGGUUCUAUGUCUUUACACACGCACUGUAAUAAAGUUUCAUGGAAUGCAUGACGCGUUUAACGCAAUACAAUACAACUUUCAGCAACGGAUCUCUUGGCUCUCGCAUCGAUGAAGAACGCAGCGAAAUGCGAUAAGUAAUGUGAAUUGCAGAAUUCAGUGAAUCAUCGAAUCUUUGAACGCACCCUGCGCCCUUUGGCUAUUUCAGAGGGCAUGCCUGUUUGAGUAUCAUGAACACCUCAACUCUCACGGUUCGCCGUGAUGAGCUUGGACUUUGGGGGUCUUGCUGGCCUGUGGUCGGCUCCUCUCAAAUGAAUCAGCUUGCCAGUGUUUGGUGGCAUCGCAGGUGUGAUAACUAUCUACGCUUGUGGUUUUCCACCAGGUAACCUUCAGUGAUGGAGGUUCGCUGGGGCUCACAAAUGUCUCUCCUCAGCGAGGACAGCUUCUUGAAUGUUUGAUCUCAAAUCAGGUAGGGCUACCCGCUGAACUUAAGCAUAUCAAUAAGCGGAGGA